rnacentral:lncRNA from 1 species
GAUUAAAUCCAAUAAUUUUCAAAGUCAAUCACAAGCUAAUCUCAAUUCCAUAAAAUCCACAUUUAUUCAUGAUUAUUUCUACAUUUAACAUUACAUCCCAUUACACCAUAUAAAUACAUGCACCCAAUUACAACAAAAAUUAGGUAUAUUACAUUUUUACAUUUUCAAUUCACAAAGUCCAUUCUUUUUGUCUCACAUAUCAUUUUCACAUUUUUCAAACCGCUUGGAACGGUGUUCAUUUGUUACCUUUUAAACCAAUUCCAUUCCAACUUUCAUUCUUUUUCAUUAGGAUCACAUAUUCAUCAUGCCACCUUCAUUCAAAACCCACUGCGUUGAAACCAUACAAUUUUCAAUUCCAACUAUAAUAUUCAAUUACACCAUUCAAAU